UCAAAGCCAGCUUUGAACACUAGGCUGAGUAUGUAGAUGUACCACAGCCCUCCACACUUCUUCCCUGGGUUGUGCUACAGGUUUUUAUUGGUAUUCUUUAUUUCACAACAUUCUGAUAUCAAUGUCUGAAAUCAAUUUCGUGAAGUGCCUUCGUAGACAAACACUGCCAGCCUUCAACUCAAAACUGCAGUCACAUAAAAGGCCACAUGUACGUUAAUCUGUUCCGGGGGAAAAACAAACACACUUUUAGUGCUACUCAGUGGACAUUUCAAAUAGAAUAUGUCACCAAACAUAUUUAAGUAGAAGAACAUGUCCUCCCCAUGCUGUCGAUUUUAGGUUUUCUUAAGUGCUGAUCAGUGUUUUGUGGACAAUCUCAGUUAGACUUUAAUAAGUACGGACACUUGUUUACUGUAUUAGGACAAGGGCAGGAUGCUUAUUGUGGUCUACUCCCACCAUGUUGUUCUCUGAAGGGGUUAUAUUUUUGUACACUAGGGGGCAGUAUGCUCAUUCAGUGAAUGAGAAUCAAGAAUACAGCCCUAAUCACCUUCUCAUUUUUUCAUGCAAAUAAUUACAUAAUUAAAAACAAAAACAGACACUCAGAAUUACUCAAUAGAUAAGUUAUGGUCACAGGAAAAGUCCUUAAAAUGUUUAUAUUCUUUUGCAUUAGAUUAUCUAUCUUAUUGGCCAAGGUCCAGUGUGUCUUAUUUCUGUUUACUUACUUAACUUUAUUGUCCUUAAAGGCAAUUCUUUUUGUAGACAGUGCAACACAACACAACACAACACAACAGACAUCAAAUAACACAUUUAUAAUAAGUCAUUUAAAAACAUUAUUCUAGCAGAUAUAAAGGAAGUCUUAUCUAUUUGAUUUGCACAAAGAAUGCUUAUAACUCCAGCCUGAGGGAAGCAGUUGAAAUUCAGUACACAAUGGGUGGGGACCUCGAAACUGGCCCUUCUUAGUCACCAAAUGUUCAUAAAUUUGUGUGAUAGUCCUUAAGUCGGUCCCCACUAUUUUGCUCCAGAUUUUAACUGUACUGUUCAACUUACUCCAAUUCUUCACAUUCAGUUUGCCAUUCCAACAAAUAAUAGGAAAAGCUUAAGACAGAUUUAAUAACACAGUUGUAAAACAUUUUCAUAAAAGAAACAUUCAUAUUAAAAGUUCAAGGUUUCCUCAGAAAAAUACAUACGCUGAAGAGCUUUCCCUUUAAUAAUGUUGGUGUUUACCUCACAUAUUAGUUUAGCAUCAAAUACAGUCUCUAAAUAUUUACACUCCCUGACCACUUCUACCUAAUGUCCCUUAAUGACAGUAGGCAACACAGGUACAGAGUUCUUCUUACGGAAAUCAAUGGACGUCUCUUUUUUUUUUUUUUUUUUUUUUUUUUUUUU